UUCCUUACCUUGAUUUUGUAUUCCAAUCUAGCUAGUGAAGAUUAGAGAGGGAAGAUGUCAUUUAUGGAAUUCAGGGGUAAUGACGAAGAACUUUCUUCCGCUUCAUGGAGAGGGGAAGAAGAGGAUAAGUUUAAAGACGCAAAAAUGAAGGUCACCAGCUAGCAAGUUUGGAAAAUCUCAUCACAUGAUUCCGAUGAUUCGCUUAGAUCCCGAACUCCGUUAUAGUUUCCAGCGUAACUUCUAGGUCUCUCUUUCACUCGCUCUAUCUCAUUCUACAUUAUUAACGAAUAUGUUGCGGUAAUAUGUUGAUUUAGGAUAUUAAUUGCUGUUAGAGGGUAUGAAAUUGACAAAAUAUGUUGAUCCAAAACCCUCCCUUGCUGUCCCUUCCGUCUGAAACCCUUUCCGAAGCCGCUCCCCUCCUACAGCUGUUGCUGCUUCCAGUUUCAGGGAGAGUAGACCAGGGAAAGCAUAUGGAAAACAGAGCUGUUUUCAAUCCAACAUUCCCCCUAAAUCUAUGCUAGUUAACUGGAUCAAUCGUUUCGUUAAAUCUGUUUUGUGGAUGUUCGAGUGGGCUGUGGAACUACCUGAUGAGUUACGUGAUGCGAGAGAGUGAUAAUAUUAAAUCUUUAGCGAGUAGAUUUGGGGUUAGUAUGGCUAGUAUUGAAUCUGUUAAUGGAAUUGUUAAUUCUGAUAAUGUUAUUGUUGGAUCUAUUUACUAUAUUCCUUUAAAUUCAGGUACGUAUCAAUAUCAUCAUUCUUUUUGAUUUCUUAAUCUAUUAUUGCUCGAUUGAAACAGAGUUUAAUAUUUUUUACUUUUUUUGUUCAAAUG